rnacentral:rRNA from 1 species
GACGAACGCUGGCGGCGUGCCUAAUACAUGCAAGUAGAACGCAGUUGCGAACGGGUGAGUAACGCGUAGGUAACUGCCUCAUAGCGGGGGAUAACUAUUGGAAACGAUAGCUAAUACCGCAUACUGUGAGAUGGACCUGCGUUGUAUUAGGUAGUUGGUGAGGUAAAGGCUCACCAAGGCGACGAUACAUAGCCGGCCUGAGAGGGUGGACGGCCCCAAUGGGACUUAGGAACCGGCCCAGCUUCUUCCGGAGGCAGCAGUAGGGGAUCAUCGGAAAAGGGCGGAAGUCCGGCCGCGCCACGGCGCGUGAGUGAAGAAGGGUUUCCGAUCGUAAAGCUACGUUGUUAGAGAAGCGGUACCUACACAGAAAGGGACGGCUAACUACGUGCCAGCAGCCGCGGUAAUAC